rnacentral:tRNA from 1 species
GGGGCUAUAGCUCAGCUGGGAGAGCGCUUGCAUGGCAUGCAAGAGGUCGACGGUUCGAUCCCGUCUAGCUCCAMCA